CGCCGGGGGGCAGACUACCAUGCAGUCGAGCGAGAACUUCGGUUCUAGCGGCGGACGGGUUAGUAACGCGUGGGAACGUGCCCUUCACUACGGAAUAGUCCCGGGAAACUGGGUUUAAUACCGUAUACGCCCUUCGGGGGAAAGAAUUUCGGUGAAGGAUCGGCCCGCGUUAGAUUAGAUAGUUGGUGGGGUAACGGCCUACCAAGUCUACGAUCUAUAGCUGGUUUUAGAGGAUGAUCAGCAACACUGGGACUGAGACACGGCCCAGACUCCUACGGGAGGCAGCAGUGGGGAAUCUUAGACAAUGGGCGCAAGCCUGAUCUAGCCAUGCCGCGUGAGUGAUGAAGGCCUUAGGGUCGUAAAGCUCUUUCGCCAGGGAUGAUAAUGACAGUACCUGGUAAAGAAACCCCGGCUAACUCCGUGCCAGCAGCCGCGGUAAUACGGAGGGGGUUAGCGUUGUUCGGAAUUACUGGGCGUAAAGCGCGCGUAGGCGGAUUGGAAAGUUGGGGGUGAAAUCCCAGGGCUCAACCCUGGAACUGCCUCCAAAACUAUCAGUCUAGAGUUCGAGAGAGGUGAGUGGAACUCCGAGUGUAGAGGUGAAAUUCGUAGAUAUUCGGAAGAACACCAGUGGCGAAGGCGGCUCACUGGCUCGAUACUGACGCUGAGGUGCGAAAGUGUGGGGAGCAAACAGGAUUAGAUACCCUGGUAGU
rnacentral:rRNA from 1 species